rnacentral:rRNA from 1 species
CGCCUCUUGAGUCUAUAUAAGAGGUCCAGCCUGCCCAGUGACCAAGUUUAACGGCCGCGGUAUCCUAACCGUGCGAAGGUAGCGUAAUCACUUGUUCUUUAAAUGAGGACUAGUAUGAAUGGCAUCACGAGGGUUAUACUGUCUCCUUUUUCUAAUCAAUGAAACUGAUCCCCCCGUGAAGAAGCGGGGAUAAUUAUAUAAGACGAGAAGACCCUAUGGAGCUUUAAACUAUGUAACACUGGCCUAUAAAACCCCCACGUUUCAGGACUACCACAAAUACCUCAGCCACUUUGAUUACUAGUUUUAGGUUGGGGUGACCACGGAGCAUAAACUAACCUCCACGCUGAAUGGAGCCAUUCCUGAGCCAAAAGCUACAACUUUAAGCACUAAUAAAUUAACUGUAAUUGACCCAAUAUUUUGAUCAACGAACCAAGUUACCCUAGGGAUAACAGCGCA